GGUGUACGUACCAUGUAGACAUUGUCAAAGUGUAGUUAAGGGUAACACCAGGUGUACGUACCAUGUAGACAUUGUCAAAGUGUAGUUAAGGGUAACACCAGGUGUACGUACCAUGUAGACAUUGUCAAAGUGUAGUUAAGGGUAACACCAGGUGUACGUACCAUGUAGACAUUGUCAAAGUGUAGUUAAGGGUAACACCAGGUGUAUGUACCAUGUAGACAUUGUCAAAGUGUAGUUAAGGGUAACACCAGGUGUACGUACCAUGUAGACAUUGUCAAAGUUUAGUUAAGGGUAACACCAGGUGUACGUACCAUGUAGACAUUGUUAAAGUGUAGUUAAGGGUAACACCAGGUGUACGUACCGUGUAGACAUUGUCAAAGCGUAGUUAAGGGUAACACCAGGUGUACGUACCAUGUAGACAUUGUGUAGUUCGAUAUUUCAUGAAGUGAAGGUACCUCCCCAGCAAUAACAUUGUCGGAUGGUUGGAUUCAAUGAUGUCGGCGUUCAGGUCAGCAUGGGUCGUUGCAAGUUAUAUCUAACUCGUCGAUUCUUGGUUGACAGCAUUCAGUCAGACCAGACAGCAAUCGUAACCUUUCAUUGGUUAUCUUGACAACUGCCUACUUGCCUUGAACGUCAUUCACUGAAACCAUUCAGAAACAUGAACUCUUUAAUUUUGUAAAGACUUUCAACAGUAAUAAAGCUAAACAGGCGUUCUGACGCUUUGUAUAUUCCAAGCUGAAUGUGAAUUCCCAAAAGCUUUUGUGAAAACGUUCAAUGGCAGGUCCAACAACACAACAACAUUGAAGGCAAAGGUUUGAAGUUUAAAAGUUUUCUG